rnacentral:lncRNA from 1 species
GGCUGAGCGGGGCAGGAGGCGGCCGGAGCCGGCGGGGAGAGGCUUUCUUGCACGGCGCUUAUGACAUCAUGGUACAGAAAUAAGAGUCAAAACUUUGAAAGAACAAAACCACAAAGAGAGAUGUUCUCAUGCUCUAUUCAGCUCGGUGUUAGCUGCUUCUAGUUUCGCUGCAAAGGAUUCAAAUAGGUAAUCCCACAACAAAUCCAUCAAGAACCUUUGAGCCUCUCUGGACUUCCCUUUCAAGGCAACGUGGGUACUGUUGCCUGAAGGAUCACUGCUGGAGGAGCUCAUUGGUAUUGCUCUUGUAGUGAUAUCAUCUAUAUAGUUAGGUACAUAAGUCCAGUCCCUUUAUCUUUCUUUUUUCCCCUUUUAGAUACAAUGAAAAGGUCGUGACAUUUUGGUUUGUGUUUGUUUUGUUUUUUCCCCCAAUAAAGUCUCCAGUGAAACGAGAGAAUGCCUGGUGGCUUAAAACCAACAUCAUCUGUGUUUCUGAUUGCGCCACCAAAAGAAAAAUUGUGCAAGGGUCUCGGUGCUCCAUCUUCUUUGAAAAGCUGAGAAAUUAUCUGUGUCUCUUUGAGCAUGUUAAUGUGUGGACCACCAAAGGUGGCGGGAAGUUCUACUCGGCCUUCAGCGAGGAUAAGCUUCUCCUACAUGGCCAUGAGCUCGGAAGGGCUGCUGCUCUACCAGUAGGAGGGGUUGGACGAAGAACAGCAGGCAUCUGGUGCCCGUAAAACAAGCCAAAGCAUUCAUAGUAAGUGAGUGAGUAUUUGUGGGCUAACCGUAGCUUGAUGUUGGGUGAUAGUGAUGCUAGCAUCAAAUGUCAGUGGCUUACAAAAUGAGAAUAGCAUAGUCACAGCACUCAUCGCACCAAGUAAUCUGUGCACCAGCUAAUACAUGUCUGAAUAUGGCCAGAGCUGUCUGGCUGUGUUGGCUCAUCUGGGUGUUUGUGCUGGUGAAAAACUGAAGAGCGGCAGUAGAAGGAUGGUGGGAGGGAGGGCACGUGGCUGUCGGUACAAUGGUGUCAAAGCAAAUCUGUUGCCUGCCUCGAGCCACUAUCCUCAGG